GGCCAGACUCCUACGGGAGGCAGCAGUGGGGAAUAUUGCACAAUGGGGGAAACCCUGAUGCAGCAACGCCGCGUGAGUGAGGAAGUAUUUCGGUAUGUAAAGCUCUAUCAGCAGGGAAUAGAAAAGAAGGUACCUGAAAAAGAAGCCCCGGCUAACUACGUGCCAGCAGCCGCGGUAAUACGUAGGGGGCAAGCGUUAUCCGGAAUUAUUGGGUGUGAAGGGUGCGUAGACGGGAAAACAAGUUAGUUGUGAAAUCCCUCGGCUUAACUGAGGAACUGCAACUAAAACUAUUUUUCUUGAGUGCAGGAGAGGUAAGUGGAAUUCCUAGUGUAGCGGUGAAAUGCGUAGAUAUUAGGAGGAACACCAGUGGCGAAGGCGACUUACUGGACUGUAACUGACGUUGAGGCACGAAAGUGUGGGGAGCAAACAGGAUUAGAUACCCCAGUAU
rnacentral:rRNA from 1 species